UACGAAGGGGGCGAGCGUUGUUCGGAUUUACUGGGCGUAAAGGGCGCGCAGGCGGCUCAUUUUGUCAGGCGUGAAAGCCCCGGGCUUAACCUGGGAACUGCGUCCGAUACUGGAAGGCUUGAGUGCGGGAGAGGGAUGUGGAAUUCCAGGUGUAGCGGUGAAAUGCGUAGAUAUCUGGAGGAACACCGGUGGCGAAGGCGGCGUUCUGGACUGCAACUGACACUGAGAGACGAAAGCCAGGGGAGCAAACGGG
rnacentral:rRNA from 1 species